AACGAACGUUAGCGGCGCGCCUAACACAUGCAAGUCGCACGAGAAAGGGCUUCGGCCCCGGUACAGUGGCGCACGGGUGAGUAACACGUGGGUAAUCUGCCUUCGAGUGGGGGAUAACAUUCCGAGAGGAGUGCUAAUACCGCAUAAGACCACGCCCUCGAAAGAGGAAGCGGUCAAAGCUGGCCUCUAUAUAUAAGCUAGCGCUUGAGAAUGAGCCCGCAGAGCAUCAGCUAGUUGGUGAGGUAAUGGCUCACCAAGGCCUAGACGCUUAGCUGGUCUGAGAGGAUGAUCAGCCACACUGGAACUGAGACACGGUCCAGACUCCUACGGGAGGCAGCAGUGGGGAAUCUUGCGCAAUGGGCGAAAGCCUGACGCAGCGACGCCGCGUGAGUGAUGAAGG
rnacentral:rRNA from 1 species